UGUAACAACUCUCAACAACGGAUAUCUCGGCUCUCACAUCGAUGAAAAACAUAGCAAAAUGCGAUACUUUGUGUGAAUUGGAGAAUCCCGUGAACCAUCGAGUCUUUGAAUGCAAGUUAAGCAUGAAGCCUUCCUGUCGAGUGCGCAUUUGCUGGAUGUCACGC
rnacentral:rRNA from 1 species